rnacentral:rRNA from 1 species
AGCAGCCGCGGUAAUUCCAGCUCCAAUAGCGUAUAUUAAAGUUGUUGCAGUUAAAAAGCUCGUAGUUGAACUUCGGGAUCAAUUAGUUGGUCAUGCCUUGGUAUGUACUGAUUUUAUUGGUUCUCACCUUCUAAAGAACUAUAAUGUCAUUUAUUUGAUGUUAUAGGGAAUUAGGACUGUUACCUUGAAAAAAUUAGAGUGUUUAAAGCAGGCUCACGCUUGAAUACAUUAGCAUGGAAUAAUGAAAUAGGACAUCGCAUUCUAUUUUGUUGGUUUCUAGGAUCGAUGUAAUGAUUAAUAGGGAUAGUUGGGGGCAUUAGUAUUCAAUUGUCAGAGGUGAAAUUCUUGGAUUUAUUGAAGACUAACUACUGCGAAAGCAUUUGCCAAGGAUGUUUUCAUUAAUCAAGAACGAAAGUUAGGGGAUCGAAGACGAUCAGAUACCGUCGUAGUCUUAACCAUAAACUAUGCCGACUAGGGAUCGGAUGAUGUUGAUUUUUAAUGA